UACGGAGGGGGCUAGCGUUGUUCGGAAUUACUGGGCGUAAAGCGCGCGUAGGCGGCUUUGUAAGUUAGAGGUGAAAGCCCGGAGCUCAACUCCGGAAUUGCCUUUAAGACUGCAUCGCUAGAAUCAUGGAGAGGUGAGUGGAAUUCCGAGUGUAGAGGUGAAAUUCGUAGAUAUUCGGAAGAACACCAGUGGCGAAGGCGGCUCACUGGACUGGUAUUGACGCUGAGGUGCGAAAGCGUGGGGAGCGAACAGG
rnacentral:rRNA from 1 species